rnacentral:rRNA from 1 species
GAUGAACGCUGACAGAAUGCUUAACACAUGCAAGUCAACUUGAACUUCGGUUUGGGUGGCGGACGGGUGAGUAACGCGUAAAGAACUUGCCUCACAGCUAGGGACAACAUCUGGAAACGAAUGCUAAUAUCUGAUAUUAUGAUUAUAUGGCAUCGUAUAAUCAUGAAAGCUAUAUGAGCUGUAAGAGAGCUUUGCGUCCCAUUAGAUAGUUGGAGAGUUAACAGCUCACCAAGGCGAUGAUGGGUAGCCGGACUGAGAGGGUGAUCGGCAACAAGUGGACUAAGACUCGUCUCUUAAGCCUUCGGGGGACAGCAGAGUUGAAUAGUGGACUAUGGCCCGAGAGUCUGAGCCAGAAAUUCUGUGUGCAUGAUGAAGUUUUUCGGAAUGUAAAGUGCUUUCAGUUGUGAAGAAAAAAAUGUCGGGACCAACAGAAGAAGGGACGGCUAAAUACGU